CAAGAGUUGUUUUUGCAGAGUGGCUUGCUGGUCCUCUAGACAGUCGCAAGGAGAGCAACUUAACGGCUAGGUUAAGUUGCAUAUCUAAGUACUUGCGCCUUAUGUGUAAUGGAUAUGAGUAGGUUAGAUCUCUAGGUGCUUUGUGUUUGCUACUGCAGUACCUCCAGAACAUCCAUGCCUGUGUGACCUGCAAUUAGUUUCGACUUGUUUGUGGUUAUGACCUUGGUGUAUGCACUCUGCCCUGCAUAUUGUUUCUGGAUUCAGUUAAUGUUUGCCCUAAAAAUGCAUAUCAUGCAUCUGAUUCCAAAUGCUCGGUGCACCUCAAAAGAAUGCAAUAUCAAAAAGGAGAGAAGGUUUUUGGCACCAGAUUAUUUUUGCCGUAGCAGAUGAUGUAAAACUGCUGCCAAAAUACGACUGGGGGAGGCUGGAAGCUGAUCUAAGGAGCUUGGCGGGGACGGUGG
rnacentral:lncRNA from 1 species